GGCACUAGGAAGAGCUGGGAGCACCCAGGAGGCUAGCUAGGGGUACACACUGGGUUGCAGCUCAUUCCUUCAGGACACAGCAGACGGGAGAAUGCAAGUCACCUGAGUGAUGAGCCUGCUAUAAAACCUAAUGAAUUCCCAAACUAGACAGUUUUCUCUGAGCUGAGUUGAUCAUGUACAUAGGUAAUGCUGAACUGUUAACUGAAUCUAAAGCACGUCCCAGUGUGAAAAUGGAACUCGUGGGAAGUGGCAACUCAUUGCCUGAGGUUGCCCAGAGGCAAGUCACACGUGUACUUCACUAAUCUUGAGUGAAGACUGUUGGCUGAGACCUGAGAUUCAUGGGAUUCUCAUUCCACAGCUCAAAUCUUUGAACUGAUAAGAGCACAAACUACGUGUGAGAUUCACUACAUGUGCUCUGCAUUGAAACCUGAUAACAGCACUCUUCUGUCAGAUGAAGAAACAGUACUGAAGCUAUAAGUGGUAAAAGCGGGGUGCAAACCAGCAUUCCUAACCUUAAAUUACUGCACUGAAACACUUAAGAGAGAGGUCAAGAUCAACUUGAAUCAGUAGCCAAAAAGGAAGAAACUUGGGAACAUUCUUGAAAUGACAUUGAUUUCUCUCUGCUGGGAGUUAGUGAGGUGAAGUGAGAAAAGAACUUGGGCAGAGUUCUAACAACUGAACAGCUACCCCGGGAAGAGAGAAAGACAACAGUAAUCUUAAGAAGAGUUGAAUGUCAACGAACGUUUGAAUUCUGAGUAGAUUUUCUUUAUUCAGCUUUUUCUUCUCAGGUUAAAGUUCAUAUGUCUUGAAUUUAUUUUAACGUAUAAAACUUUGAUACUCUGAUCACCCAACAAAUAUUUUCAUGCAUGUGUUUCACAGUAAGAUUGUGAUUUAGCUCUCAUGAAGAUCUUCAAUUUUUAUAUUCUCUAAGGUGUUGUGUGUUUGACCUUGAAAUGACUGGACUUAAGAAGCUCUACUUAGAGAUCAAAGAGGUGGACUACACUAAUAAGCAGGAGGAGAGGAGAUAGGAAAUGAAUAAUUAAGAUGGAUUUAUCAGAAACAACACUGAUCUAGGCACUGGGAGAACAUCAGGGAAGCAGAGAAGAAAACAGUCCCCAUCCUCAUGGAUCUUACAUUAAAUAAAAUAUUUAAGUUUACAUAUAACAUAAAAUAUUCUAAAAGGUAGAAAUAGAAUAGAAAAUAGAAUUUUUGUAUGGAGAAAAGUGAGCUGGGACUUGAGAUGGCCAGUAUAAGUUAGACAAAUGGCCAGGAAAGACCUUGCAAAGAGGGAGACGUGUGCAUAAAAUCCGAAGUGAGUCACACAGAAUAUUGAAGGAAAAGAGCUCAAGCA